rnacentral:snRNA from 1 species
AGAACAAUAGAGGAUGAGCAUGGCCCCUGCAGAAGGAUGACACACAAAUUUGUGAAAUGUUCCAUAUUUUU